UGGAAUUGGGUGGAAGGGAAUCUAACCAAGACAGGGCUUUGUCUCUGAGGGAAAAAGGGAAUAAUCUUAAACGAAUUGCCUCAGGAGAAGCUCCAUUGGUUUUAAAAGUGUCUGCUAAUUGAAGAAAUAUUUUUAAAUAUUGGUUUGGGUUCCCAGUAGCGAGACCUGCGAAUUGUCUCUGUUGCACUAGUUGCAACAGGGAUGGUUUAACU
rnacentral:lncRNA from 1 species